GACGAACGCUGGCGGCGUGCUUAACACAUGCAAGUCGAACGGUGAAGCGCCUUCCUUUUUGGUUGGUGUGGAUGAGUGGCGAACGGGUGAGUAACACGUUAGUAACCUGCCCCCUUCUUCUGGAUAACCGCAUGAAAGUGUGGCUAAUACGGGAUAUUCUGGGUCUGUCGCAUGAUGGGUCUGGGAAAGAUAUUGUUUCGGUGGGGGAUGGGCUCGCGGCCUAUCAGCUUGUUGGUGGGGUGAUGGCCUACCAAGGCGGUGACGGGUAGCCGGCCUGAGAGGGUGGACGGUCACACUGGGACGGAGACACGGCGCAGACUCCUACGGGAGGCAGCAGUGGGGAAUAUUGCACAAUGGGCGCAAGCCUGAUGCAGCGACGCCGCGUGAGGGAUGGAGGCCGUCGGGUUGUGAACCUCUUUCGCCAGUGAAGCAGGCCUGCCUCGUUUGUGGGUGGGUUGACGGUAGCUGGAUAAGAAGCGCCGGCUAACUACGUG
rnacentral:rRNA from 1 species